AUAGUAUGGAUGGAUGAUAUAAAAGAUUCUUUUAUUGAAACAAAUGUUCCAUUACUAUUACAUCGCCAAGUCUUAAAAAAGCUUGGUUAGAGUUAAGAAAAUUUUGGCACAGUUAUUUUGUGUGAUACAUCAGGCUUGUUUAGAGCAUAAGUUUCGUACUUACCAUCUAUCUGGCCGCAUUCUAUGUACAUGGGCUCUUUGAGUACCGAUAGGGUGUAUGGUGACUUCCGGUAACUGCCAAUAAUUUGUCUUUAUUACAAAACUUUGAAUAAAAUCAUACUUG
rnacentral:misc_RNA from 1 species